AUGAUAGAGGAGAUGACAGCACUUGAUAAAAAUAAUACUUGGGUACUCACUACUCUUCCUCCUAACAAAAGGGCUGUUGGUUGUAAAUGGGUAUUUACUGUAAAACAAAAUUCAGAGGGAAAAGUAGAAAGAUAUAAAGCCAGGUUAGUGGCAAAGGGGUAUAGUCAGACUUAUGGAGUGGACUAUGAUGAGACCUUCGCACCAGUGGCGAAAAUGAACACCAUUAAGGCUCUCAUAUCUAUAGCUGCAAAUAAUAAGUGGAGGUUAUUUCAAAUGGAUGUUAAAAAUGCUUUUCUUCAUGGAGAUUUGAAAGAAGAGGUUUAUAUGGAGAUUCCCCCUGGGUUUGGUACACAAGAAACAGAGGGUAAAGUGUGUAGGCUGAAAAGGUCUCUAUAUGGUUUGAAACAGUCACCUAGAGCAUGGUUUGGACGACUUAGAAAGGAGAUAUGCUCUAUGGGUUAUCGACAAAGCAAUGCAGAUCACACCCUUUUCUUUAAGUACCAGAGUGGCAAGAUUGUCAUCCUUAUUGUGUAUGUUGAUGAUAUUGUGAUCACAGGCAAUGAUGAUGAUGGGAUAGCAUUCCUAAAGAAGAUGUUGGCCAAGUCAUUUGAAGUUAAGGAUCUGGGUUUUCUUCAUUAUUUCCUGGGAAUUGAGGUUGCAUAUGGAUCACAAGGCAUUUACUUAUCGCAAAGAAAAUAUGUACUUGAUUUACUCGUUGAAACUGGCAUGCUAAAUUGUAGACCAGCGACAACUCCAAUUGAGCAGAACCAUCGUAUUCGAGCAGAUUCUGGUGAUCCUGUGGACAAACAUCAAUAUCAAAGGUUAGUUGGUCGGUUAAUUUAUUUAUCACACACUAGGCCAGACAUUGCCUAUGCUGUUAGCUUGGUGAGCAGAUUUAUGCAUGACCCGAGAUCAAGUCAUUUAGAUGUUGUGCACAGAAUACUAAGAUAUCUUAAAGGUUGUCUGGGAAGAGGGAUUCUAUUUUCUAAUUAUGGACACUUAAAAGUAGAGGGUUUUACUGAUGCUGAUUGGGCUGGGUGCCUAGACGAUAGAAGGUCUACAUCUGGCUACUGUGUUUUCGUUGGUGGUAAUCUUGUUAGUUGGAGGAGCAAAAAAUAA
rnacentral:rRNA from 1 species